rnacentral:rRNA from 1 species
UACGAAGCGGGCUAGCGUUGCUCGGAAUCACUGGGCGUAAAGCGCACGUAGGCGGACUCUUAAGUCGGUGGUGAAAUCCUGGAGCUCAACUCCAGAACUGCCUUCGAUACUGAGAGUCUCGAGUCCGGGAGAGGUGAGUGGAAUUCCGAGUGUAGAGGUGAAAUUCGUAGAUAUUCGGAAGAACACCAGUGGCGAAGGCGGCUCACUGGACUGGUAUUGACGCUGAGGUGCGAAAGCGUGGGGAGCAAACAGG